GACUGCUUUUCCCGUCUGUGUUAUUUCUUUUGUUGAUAUGUCUUUCUCAGUGAUAAAAUUGUUGGUCACAUCAUCAGCUACAUCUCCAAGAUCAGUCAAAAGAGAGCUCAGCUUGUGGGAGAAUGUGGAAAGGACAAUAGAGGAAGGAACCACUGAGCCUCUCUUGAAAAGCUCCUGGUUCCCCAGGUCCAGAUCAACAUUCUGUUUGAAGACUGACCAGUAU